AGGGCGGGACACGUGGUAUCCUGUCUGAAUAUGGGGGGACCAUCCUCCAAGGCUAAAUACUCCUGACUGACCGAUAGUGAACCAGUACCGUGAGGGAAAGGCGAAAAGAACCCCGGCGAGGGGAGUGAAAAAGAACCUGAAACCGUGUACGUACAAGCAGUGGGAGCACCUUCGGGUGUGACUGCGUACCUUUUGUAUAAUGGGUCAGCGACUUAUAUUCUGUAGCAAGGUUAACCGUAUAGGGGAGCCGCAGGGAAACCGAGUCUUAACUGGGCGUUAAGUUGCAGGGUAUAGACCCGAAACCCGGUGAUCUAGCCAUGGGCAGGUUGAAGGUUGGGUAACACUAACUGGAGGACCGAACCGACUAAUGUUGAAAAAUUAGCGGAUGACUUGUGGCUGGGGGUGAAAGGCCAAUCAAACCGGGAGAUAGCUGGUUCUCCCCGAAAGCU
rnacentral:rRNA from 1 species